CCUACGGGAGGCAGCAGUGAGGAAUAUUGGUCAAUGGACGGAAGCCUGAACCAGCCAUGCCGCGUGCAGGAAGACGGCUCUAUGAGUUGUAAACUGCUUUUGUACAAGGGUAAACCUGAAUACGUGUAUUCAGCUGAAAGUACUGUACGAAUAAGGAUCGGCUAACUCCGUGCCAGCAGCCGCGGUAAUCCGGAGGAUCCAAGCGUUAUCCGGAUUUAUUGGGUUUAAAGGGUGCGUAGGCGGAUUGAUAAGUUAGAGGUGAAAUGUCCGAGCUUAACUCGGGAACUGCCUCUAAUACUGUUGAUCUAGAGAGUAGAUGCGGUAGGCGGAAUGUAUGGUGUAGCGGUGAAAUGCUUAGAGAUCAUACAGAACACCGAUUGCGAAGGCAGCUUACCAAUCUAUAUCUGACGUUGAGGCACGAAAGCGUGGGGAGCAAACAGGAUUAGAUACCCUUGUAGUC
rnacentral:rRNA from 1 species